AUUGAACGCUGGCGGCAGGCCUAACACAUGCAAGUCGAACGGUAGCAGGAAGAAGCUUGCUUCUUUGCUGACGAGUGGCGGACGGGUGAGUAAUGUCUGGGAAACUGCCUGAUGGAGGGGGAUAACUACUGGAAACGGUAGCUAAUACCGCAUAACGUCGCAAGACCAAAGAGGGGGACCUUCGGGCCUUUUGCCAUCGGAUGUGCCCAGAUGGGAUUAGCUAGUAGGUGGGGUAACGGCUCACCUAGGCGACGAUCCCUAGCUGGUCUGAGAGGAUGACCAGCCACACUGGAACUGAGACACGGUCCAGACUCCUACGGGAGGCAGCAGUGGGCAAUAUUGCACAAUGGGCGCAAGCCUGAUGCAGCCAUGCCGCGUGUAUGAAGAAGGCCUUCGGGUUGUAAAGUACUUUCAGCGGGGAGGAAGGGAGUAAAGUUAAUACCUUUGCUCAUUGACGUUACCCGCAGAAGAAGCACCGGCUAACUCCGUG
rnacentral:rRNA from 1 species